CUACGGGGGGGGCAAGCGUUAAUGGGAAUUACUGGGCGUAAAGCGCGCGUAGGCGGUUUGCUCAGUCGGAUGAGAAAGCCCAGGGCUCAACCUUGGAACUGCAUACGAUACUGGCAAACUAGAGUGUGAGAGAGGAUAGUGGAAUUUCCGGUGUAGCGGUGAAAUGCGUAGAUAUCGGAAGGAACAUCAGUGGCGAAGGCGACUGUCUGGCUCAACACUGACGCUGAGGUGCGAAAGCGUGGGUAGCAAACAGGAUUAGAAACCCCAGUAGUCC
rnacentral:rRNA from 1 species